rnacentral:rRNA from 1 species
CAUGGCUUUUUGUUAUUAAUAUAAGGUCUAACCUGCCCAAUGAUAUUAUAUUAAAUGGCCGCGGUAUUUUGACCGUGCAAAGGUAGCAUAAUCAUUAGUUUUUUAAUUGAAAGCUGGUAUGAAAGGUUGAAUGAGAAAAUAACUGUCUUUAUAAUAUUUAAUUAGAAUUUUAUUUUUAAGUUAAAAAGCUUAAAUUUAAUUUAAAGACGAGAAGACCCUUUAGAGUUUUAUAAAAAAUUAGUUUUUGUAUUUUUAGUAUUAAGUUUGAUUUAAAAAUUGAUUUUUAUUUAAUUGGGGUGAUUGAAAAAUUUAAAAAACUUUUUUUUUUAUUAACAUUAAUUUAUGAGCACAUGAUCCAUAGUUUAUGAUUAUAAGAUUAAAUUACCUAAGGGAUAACAGCGUUAUUUUUUUUGAGAGUUCUUAUCGAAAGAAAAGAUUGCGACCUCGAUGUUGGAUUAAAAUUAAAUUAUGGUGUAGAGGCUAUAAC